CCUGGACUCACAAGGCCCUGCCCUCGGGUUAAGGCUCUGCUGCUGCCAGCUUGAAAUUCUUUAUCACUUCUGAGCCAGCUGUUCUGCAUUUUCAUUUUGCACUGGGACCCACAAAUUAUGCACCUGGUUCUGCAUUACUGAGAGGGAAAAACUUACUACACAAACGCAACAAAAGCUUCUAUACUAAUCAGUGGGGUGGAGAAGCUCCAAAGCCUAGGUGAAGAGAUUGGAGAAUUGGCAGUGUCUUUUGUAAUAGGAAGGAAGUGUGACUACACAGGUGGGUCCCAUGUAAUCACAGGGAUCUGUAGAAGUGGACAAGAGAUUCAGAAGGAUGGGAGAUGGCCGCAUGAGGAAGAUGCAGCCUGACACUGCUGACUGGAAAAAGGGGCCGUGAGCCAGGGCGUGACGGUGGCUUUCCUCCAGAAGCUGGCAGAGAUGAGACAAAGGACUCUUGCCCAGAGCCUCCAGAAGGAGUGCAGCCCUGGUGACACCUUGAUUUCAGCAUAGUGAGACUUGUUUUGGAUUUCUGACCUCUGGGACUGUAAGGUGAUAAACGUGUGCUGUUUUGAGGCCCAAAUUUGUAGUUAGUUGUUGUAGCAGCAACAGGAAAUUAGUUCAGGGACUCUGCUACCCACCUAGAGAGCCUGACUUUGUCCGGAGCCCACUCCCCUGUCUCUGUCGCCCUGUGCUCAGUGUCCUGAUUGCCCUGAAACUGGGUGCCCACCCUCAGGGCAGUCCCGCCCAUCUCCUUUGCCCUUCAUCUGCCUCUGGCUCCUUCCCCAGCGCACCAGCGGCCGUCCCUCCUGCUGAGGAGUCUCCAGAGGAGCAGCGUUGCUCAGAGUGUGAGUGUGGACCGGAGCAUCUGGCUCUCCAUACCAGUGGAGCUGUGUAUGUUGUAGCUUCGUCGUUAAUAUUGCUUACACGUUUUGUAGAUGUUCUAUGUCUUUUAAUAAUAUGCAGAAUAAACCUCAGAA
rnacentral:lncRNA from 10 species